CUUCUCCUCUGUGUAAUUUGUUGAGAGAUGUUUGGAUGGUCCAACAAUUCAUGAACACAGAAGUGCAUUUGUGGACCAUUUUAUUUCAAGCAGAAACAUGAGAAAAACUGCACUGAGGAGAAUGCAGAGAGUGCACACAGUGGGGACGACGAUCUCUGUGACCAUCUCCAUGUGGCUGAUCAGUGGAUCUGGAAAAACACACACAGGAUCUCUGUCGGGAAUGGCUCUGGUUUCUAGCCGUGGUGUUUUUAACUCCAUGGUGGGCUGACCUCACAGUGAACUGGAUUUCUGAGUGAAUGUGGCGAUUUUGGCUCAGCCGACGCUGCUCUAAUUCGUUUGCAACUGCAUCAGAUCUUACCAGGAGGAUCAGAUGUUCUCGAGACUCCAGGAGGGCAGUCGGCCGGCAGACGGACUGGCUCCACACUAGACUGGGCAUCCGUACACACAUGAAACCAGAGCGGGGGACAUUCCUUCUUAAAAUGGCCCCCUCUUCCUCUGUCUCAUCCUGUGGUGUUAUUGAAGCAGUAUUUCAGACCUGUCAUAAAGUCUCUCAAGGAUAAGUAUCCUAACUACCUAAAUAAGUGUCUACAGGUGAUUGAGGUUUUUACACCUCAAUAUUACAAUAAUAUAAGGUAUUCAAUUAUAUUUUUCUCAUACUGCAUUACAUAAAACAUAUAGAUACAUAUAGAUUCAGGCUAAAUGGUUAUUUUCUUAAUUCAGGUAAAGCCCCUUCGGUCGUCAAUUGUCUGCACUUGCUGCCACCUAGCGGCGUCUGAACUAACUACAUGUCAGUAACAACGCAAGGCAGGAACAGGACAAUCCUCUGGCAUCAUGUUUUGGCUACUGGCCAUGCAGCUAGUCAAUAUUUUCCUGGAAGACACAUUAGAUGUGAAUGCUCACUGGAGCCAAGCAACCUCAGAUGUUUUCCUUUGCCGUUUCUGCUUCCAUUCAUGAGGAGUUGGAGCUCAGCCCAAAUAGCUGUGUGAUCCGUUAGUGAUUUAUAACUGUUCUGUAUUGUUUAAUCUCCUAAAUUAUACUAGCAGACACUGGAAACGUUUCCAUGGUUUUCUAAAUGCUGCCUAACCAUGAUGAAUUUUUUCAGCCCACAUGGAGUCUUUUGCCUAAGACAUGUGAGAGAGAUGUUCAACUUUUCAUAAUAGUCAAAUGGUCUGUCGGCAAUUUUCUUGUCUGCAUUGCUUGCUGGGAAAUCCAGCUUAAAAUGGUAUCUGUGUUUUAGACAAGGUUCUUUCAAGCUGGUCUGAACUGGUCAUUAGCUGAUCCAACCUAGUAGACCAUCUUGGACCUCCAACAAAUCUGUAACCAGCUGAUUACACCAGCUUAAAGUGGUCAAUUUUGAGUUUGUUUUGUCACAAUAUAAUGUCUGUUCUUCACAAUAAUAGGACAACAGAAUGAAAAUUCAGUCUUUUGUCUACUGUAUACAACUCUAGAAAAUGUGACUGUUAUGAGUUAUGGAGUGCAUUUCUCUCUCUACAUAUUCAUUAGCAAAUUACAGUGAAUGUAGGCUCCAUUUUUAUUCUAAUAAGUGGAAAGUUUUCGGAGCUAAUUGCAUGCUGGCUUUUGCCACUCUAAAUAAAGGCUGGUGUUUAAUUAAAGAGUAUCCCAUGAUCAAACUCUGGGUUGUAUAAUGGGUUGUGUUUAUCCCUCUCCGUGUGUGAGGCAACAGCUAAAGAGACUAGACUG